rnacentral:miRNA from 1 species
AUCAUUAACACUUAAUAACGA